rnacentral:misc_RNA from 1 species
CUGGUCUGGGGCGAUGGGGAUUGGUACGGCUCUCUGGAUUGGGGACGACGAUGUAACCUGGGCUUCGAAGAAUCGAAAGAGAGGAAUGGGCAAGGAGAGGGCCGCCGCAGUGUCGAUGCUUCUACUCAGAUGAAAAGGUCGCGGAUUUGCCCUCCUCUCCACCAAGCAGCUGGCCCUGUGCUGCGCCUUCCACCCACACAAUGGGCAUGGUGGUGGCUGGCUCCAGCGAGCAGGGCCGCGCGCUCACUAGGCAGCCUUGUCAGUGGAGAUGGCGGGGAAGAGCGGAAGCGAUUUGCCGACGGCGACGACACAACAGCAGGUCAGAGCGACGCUAUUAGGGUCGGGAGCUAUGGUGGGCAGGAGGCGAGGCGCCGAGCUGUUGGGGAGAGACGGCCACCAAGCCAUGGGAUUAUGGGAGGGAGACUGGGAGAGCAAUCUGGAACUCUGGAAGCUUCGCGGUGGCCCCGGAUCGACGCUUCGCCGCUAAAGAUGCGUGAAACAUUUCGUAGCCACUGGAUCACGAUCAGAUGGAUGGAGGAAAAGAGGACGACGUGGACAUCGUGA